CACACACACACACACACACACUGUAUAUGAUAUGUGUGUAUGUAUAUGUAUGAGGUAGAUCACCUCGACUUGGUCAUUUAUUAAGUAGUUGAUUAACGUUGAAAAACUUAUUCGGGUGUUACCAUUUAGUGGUCAAUUGUACGGAAUAUGUACUGUACUGUGCAAUCUACUAAUACAAGUUUCAAUCAAUCAAUCAAUCAAUCAAUCAAUCAAUGCCUACUGAGCCUAUGGUGCUGUUAAGUUAUUGUGGCUCAAUUUGCCUUUUUUUAAAAAUUCAUUUUAAUGUAUUAUUAUUUAAUAUAAAAUAUUGUUUUAGUUGCUUAAGAGAUUUUUCAUUUUGAUUUUCAUUUUAAUCAUGAUUAUUUUGUUUUUGUUUUUGCUUUCUUGUAAUAUUGUAUAAACCAGUGGUUCUCAAAUGGGGGUACUUGAAAGGUAUGCCAAGGGGUACGUGAGAUUAAAAAAAAAAAAAUUCUUAAAAUAGCAACGAUUAAAACAUCCUUUAUAAAUAUAUUUAUUGAAUAAUAAAUACUUCAACAAAAUAUGAAUGUAAGUUCAUAAACUGAGAAAAGAAAUGCAACAAUGCAAUAUUCAGUGUUUACAGCUAGACUUUUUGUGGACAUGUUCCAUAAAUAUUGAUGUUAAAGAUUUAUUUUUUUGUGAAGAAAUGUUUAGAAUUAAGUUCAUGAAUCCAGAUGGAUCUCUAUUACAAUCCCUAAAGAGGGCACUUUAAGUUGAUGAUUACUUCUAUGUGUAAAAAUAUUUAUUUAUAAUUGAAUCACCUGUUUAUUUUUCAACAAGUUUUUAGUUAUUUUUAUAUCUUUUUUUCCAAAUAGUUCAAGAAAGACCACUAUACAAAUGAACAAUAUUUUGCACUUUUAUACAAUUUAAUAAAUUGGAAACUGAUGACAUAGUGCUGUAUUUGACUUCUUUAUCUCUUUUUUUCAACCAAAAAUGCUUUGCUCUGAUUAGGGGGUACUUGAAUUACAGAAAUGUUCCCAGUGGGUACAUCACUGAAAAAAGGUUGAGAACCACUGGUAUAAACCACUUUGACUUGCUUCAUGUACCAAUUGUGCUCUAUGAAUAAACUUGCUUUGCCUUACUUGGUAUUGGAUUGUGCACCUAAAGUUGUGGUAUCGUCCAAAACUAAUUUCAAGUAUCCAAAAAACAGAAAAAUAAGUAAUUAUUACUCUCACUUACCGGGUUGGAAAAAAUGGUCCCUCAAACUGAUGGUUCUCAAUCUUUAUUCACCUUGAAUACAUUGUAAUUGUCCUUUAAAGUUACACUUUUCACAUUAAACAUUGUGAACAAUGCAUUUUCGACUGCUACAAAUAAGUUUUUAUACAGUGCGACAGCACCCUCCAGUGGGCGUAAUAUCAAACAGUGACGUCCAUCCAUCCAUUUUCUUACCGCUUGUAGUGUGUGAAUGUGAGUGAGAAUGUUCUCUCUCUAUCAUAGAGAAAAGUGGUUCAUAAAGGUAAUAAAGUCAGGAAAAAAACAAAAGUGCGAUGAAGGAAAACAUCUUCAAAUAUCACUUUCAUCAUCUUCUGGAAUACAAUCGGACCAUCAUGUGUUGCAGGUGUCAGUCCCAGGUAGCCAAGACAAGCAGUCAGAUAAUAAUGUCCUGUUAAACAGGAGGAAAAAGCACACAGAACGUUUGAAUUGUUCACAGACUGGUCGCUCUCAUCAGAAUUUAUUAACAGAAAUUACAAAUCCACAAUUGACUUCAUUUCCUAUAUCUUUUGUCACUUUGUAUCAUGUCAGUGUCUUACUUUAUAUUCACCUCUAUUUUCAUCAAAACACUCAAUAAACUAUCAUUUAACCUUUACUGUAUCACUGGAGUUAUAAUUACCAUAACAAUACUGUAUGCCUUUCCCACAUAUGUUCACAUAUCCUCAUCAUCACUCCAAAACAUACAACAUAGUGCCCAAUAGACCUUAUUUCACUGUCUUGUCUUUCUCAGGAAGAUACACUGUUAACUUAGUGCACUUUUUAGCAACAUUCAUUUAAGCACUUCACUUUUCUUCAUAUUCUUUUUCUUAUAAUAACAACUUUGUAAGUGUAGUUGAAACUUACACCUAAGGGCCUACUGAAACCCUCUACUACCCACCACGCAGUCUGAUAGUUUAUAUAUCCAUAAUGAAAUAUUAACAUUGCAACACAUGCCAAUACGGCCUUUUUAGUUUACUAAAUUACAAUUUUAAAUUUCCCGGGAGUUUCGUCUUGAAAACGUUGUGUAAUGUUGACGUGUACGCAAGACGUCACACGUUUUUAGGAAGUAUGAGCGCUACGCACACACACAGCUAAAUGUCUUCUGCUUUAACGGCAUAAUUAUACAGUAUUUUGGACAUCUCUGUUGCUGAAUAUUUUGCAAUUUGUUCAAUUAAUAUUGGAGAAGUCAAAAUAGCAAGAUGGAGGUGGGAAGCUUUAGCCUUUAGCCACACAAACACGGUGAUUCCUUGUUUAAAAUUCCCGGAGGUGAAAAUGUACUAUGGAUCAGAGCGCGGUCAAGCAAACAUGAAUCCAGACCACAUGUCAACAAGCAGGUUUUGGUGAGAAAAUUGUGGUUAAAAAGUCGCUUCUUACCGGAGAAAAGCUGAGCUUGUGCCGUCCAUAGCUGCCGUCGACUCCCCUGAGACACUGCGCGUCAAGACACCCGUGGAGACACCCUUCCGACUAUCAGGUACUAUUAAACUCACUAGAACACUAGCAACACAAUAGAAAGAAUAGGGAUUUCCCAGAAUUAUCCUAGUAAAUGUGUUUAAAAACAUCAGAAUCGGUCCAAAUGCAUUUGCGUUUUUUUUCUUAACUUUUUUUUUUUUUUUUCUAGUCCGUCGCUAUCAAUAUCCUCAAACACAAAUCUUUCAUCCUUGCUCAAAUUAAUGGGGAAAUUGUUGUUUUCUCGGUCCGAAUAGCAAUUUUUGUUGGAGGCUCCCAUUAUAAACAAUGUGAAUAUGUGAGGAGCCAUCAACAUGUGACGUCAUCGUCUGCGACUUCCGGUAGAGGCAGGGCUUUUCUCUUAACACAGACAGUUGCGAACUUUAUCGUGGAUGUUCUCUACUAAAUCCUUUCAGCAAAAAUAUGGCAAUAUCGCGAAAUGAUCAAGUAUGACACAUAGAAUGGACCUGCUAUCCCCGUUUAAAUAAGAAAAUCUCAUUUCAGUAGGCCUUUAAUAUUUUUGUUUUAAGGGUUAAUAUUUCUUGUUGAAGAUUAUUAUGGUUGUGAAUUUGUUACAUUUUUUAUAAAUACGGCAAAUGUCGUUUGUUAUAAAAGGGCAAUGUAUUUCCUUUUGUUACACCGCUAUUCUCGCAAAGUUUUGGUUUUGUACAAGAGGCUGCGAGACCUGCAUUCGCGCGGAUAUGCAGAGCACUUUGAGCGAGCCAUCCACAGGAGUAAGAACAUUUAGCCACAAGGUAUUUUGUCAUAUUGUGUUGAAUUAUUCUGUAUAUUUGUAAAGUACGUUGGUGUUAUUAUUGUACGCUCAUUUAUUAUGCACAAGACUGAAUAUAUUUGCUACCUAAGAACCUCCGAAGUGGCAGGCGGCCAUGAGGUAGCUCUUUUGUUUUGCACUUUAUUUGCCUGUGACUGGACUAUGUCUAAACUAAAGCAUUGUAUUUCAUGUCUUGUCCUGUAGUUUUAACGGCAUAAACCCAAGUAAAGCGCCUGUCUUUAAGAAGCUGUGCCUGUGUUGGCAUUUCGGAGCCACAAGCUUUAAGUUACUGUACUUAAAAUGUUCAUUGACCAUUCCUGAGAGCUUAACUUAUGCAACCAUGUCCAAACUAGGGCUGGGCGAUAUAUCGAUAUAAACAAUAUAUCGCGGGUUUGCCUCUGUGCGAUAUAGAAAAUGACUAUAUUGUGAGUAUUCGAGUAUACAUUCUCACGCAGUUGCUAUUAGCUGCGGGCAUUACUUUACAGGCGUUUCUCACUACUUCUCGUCUCUCCUUCUCACAGAGACGUAAAACAAGCCCACCUUCUUACAUACGUCACAUACUGCAGCGCGUGUAGCGUUUUUUGUUUUUUUUGAUUGUUUGAAACUUUUAUUAGUAGAUUGCACAGUUCAGUACAUGUUCCGUACAAUUGACCACCAAAUGGUAACACCCGAAUAAGUUUUUCAACUUCUUGAAGUCACGGUCCAUGUUAAUCAAUUCAUGGUAACAUGUCAUACGCUCUCGCUGAGCAGAGAGGUAGCAGCAUGGCUGACGUUAGCUGAGGCAGAAGGUGCAAGCGGAGCCGUGCGAGUGACAUUACAAGAGAGAGAAGGUGCGGAACUGAUCACAAAUGGAGGAAGAACAAUUAAUGCCCAAAAAAAACAGCAGGGGGUCCAUCAUCUGGCGGUGGUUAGGCUUCAAGCGGGAAGAUAUUCAGCAGACAACAGCAAUAUACAAAGUAUGCAGCUGAAGUGUUGCUACAAAAGGUAGCAGCACUACUAAUUUGUUCUUUCAUUUAAAAAGUCACCCGCGAGAGAAUGAAGAGUAUUUAAUAAAUACAGAUUUGGUAAAUUGACUUAGUUGUGCUUUCCCUCUCUGCAUGGAAGUUUAAAGGCCUAUUGAAACCCACUACUACCCGCCACGCAGUCUGAUAGUUUAUAUAUCAAUGAUGAAAUCUUAACAUUGCAACACGUGCCAAUACGGCCGGUUUAGUUUACUGAAUUGCAAUUUUAAAUUUCCUGCGAGGUAUCUUGUUGAAAACGUCGCGGAAUGAUGACGCUUAUGUUGAGGCGUGCUUGUGAUGUCAUUGUUUGAAACGGACAUUUUAACCCAGCACCACUCACGGUUAAAAGUCGUCUGCUUUAAUCGCAUAAUUACACAGUAUUUUGGCCAUCUGUGUUGCUGAAUCUUUUGCAAUUUCUUCAAUUAAUAAUGGAGACUAUAAAGAAGAAUGCUGUUGGUGGAAAGCGGUGGAUUGCAGCUGCCUUUAACAACCAAAACACAGCCGGUGUUUCUUUGUUUGUUGUGAAGCUUUAAUAUGGAACAGAGCAGUCAAGCGAACAUGUUUCUCUACCACAUGUCAACCAGCAAGUUUUUGGAUGAGGAAAUUGUGAUAUUAAGUCGGCUCUUACCGGAGACUUGAGCAGAGUUUGCGUCCUCCUGCAGCAGCUGUCAAAAAGGCAGCUGUGACUUUCUUGGCUCCUCCAUAUGGCUUCCCUCAGAGACACUGGCGGUCACCGAAGCCCUCCGACUUUCAGGUAUGACUUUAUAAUCUCACUAAAACACUAGUAACAUAAUAAGCAGCGAAGGGAUUUUCCAGAAUUAUCCUAGUAAAUGUGUCUAAUAACAUAUGAAUUGCUCCAACUAACGUCACCUUUUUUUUUUCUUCUGGUGCUUCACUCCAACUUUCCUCAUCCACAAAUCUUUCAUCCUCACUUAAAUUAAUGGGGAAAUCGUCGUGUUCUCGGUCCAAAUCGCUCUUGCUGCUGGUGGCUAUGAUUAUAAACAAUGUGAGGAUGUGAGGAGCCCUACAACCCGUGACAUCACGCGCACAUCGUCUGCUACUUCCGGUACAGGCAUGGCUUUUUUAUUAGCGACCAAAAGUUGCGAACUUUAUUGUCUAUGUUCUCUACUAAAUCCUUUCAGCAAAAAUAUGGCAAUAUCGCGAAAUGAUCAAGUAUGACACAUUGAAUAGACCUGCUAUCCCCGUUUAAAUAAGAAAAUCUAAUUUCAGUAGGCCUUUAAAAUGCGCAUAUAUUAAUGUAGUAUGAAGAAGAAUGUUUUAAUGUAGACACAUAGAAUCAUCAUACUGCUGUGAUUAUAUGCAUCAGGUGUUCAUGCAAGGCUAAGGCAUAAUAUCGAGAUAUAUAUAUUGUAAAUCGCGGUAUGGCAUAAAAAUAUUGAGAUAUUGAUAAAAGCCAAUAUCGCCCAGCCCUAGUCUAAACACAAUAAAACAGCAUGUAAAACCUAUUUCAGAACAAACACAUUAUACAAAAUACAUUAUAAAAUCAAUAAGAAAACAGGAGGUCUAAUUUGGGAGUCUGAAUUAGGAUCAGAAGUUCCUAUAUAAAGAUUACGCACUCAUGUCGCCAUUUUGUAUUAAUUACUGCAGCCAGUACUGUACUCUGCACUGGAUUCAUUCACAAACACUAACUACACCUUGCAAACAAUUUAGAGUUAGGCUCCACCUUCAGAACAUGUACUUAAAGUUCUAAUGACCACAUUGAUAUCAUUCAGUGAGUUGAUUCAUCAAAAGUAACCUGUUAAACAUGAGGAAAAAGCACACAGGACGUUUCAAUUGUUUACAGCAGGGGUCUCAGGCACGCGGCCCGCGAGACAUUAUUUUGCGGCCUUUAAUAGAGAUUAGAUGAGGCGUGUUGUUGUUGUUAAUAUUUGUUGUGUAUAAAAAUUUAUUCAAUGUGCUCUAUGUUUUACUUGGACAUUUGUUGAAUUCUACAUAUUUACCUGAGGACCAUCUCAAUCCAGGCACUUUGCUUUUUUGUUUUUUUGUUUUUGCAUAUCAGUGCUUAAUUGUUAAAAACAAUAAAAUAGCCACUACCUAUUAGGUAAAUUGUUAUUUGAAAAUGUAUUUGCAAUGAGAGGUGUAAUAACACGUUGCAAAUUGGAGAAAUGACAAUAAGUAAAUGGUUAUACUUGUAUAGCGCUUUUCUACCUUUUUUUUUUUAAGGAACUCAAAGCGCUUUGACACUAUUUCCACCCAUUCACACACACACAUUCACACACUGAUGACGGGAGCUGCCAUGCAAGGCGCUAACCAGGACCCUUCAGGAGCAAGGGUGAAGUGUCUUGCUCAAGGACACAAGGGACGUUACUAGGAUGGUAGAAGGUGGGGAUUGACGCAUUAACCCUCAGAUUGCUGGCACGGCCACUUUCUCAACUUCGCCACGCCGUCCCAACUAAUAAUACAUCAUUUACAUAAUAAUACUCUGACUUGUUAAGUCGGUAAUCUUAACUAAGGAAACAAAUUGGGUGUAUUACACCAGGCAACAUCAAGAACACUGAAAAACAACUAAUUUAAAGGUGGCAAUAAAUGGGUUAGAGGGGCCUACACCAAUAUUAUUUAAGGGGGCCCAGAAUUCCUAGCAAGCAUAAUGAUGUCAUACUUACAUAAAAACAUUGAACAGGCUGUAGUGUACAAACUACAAAUUUGUGGUGUAAAAAUGUAUUUGCAAACAAUAUUUUACCGACUUUGUACAAGCAGACCGGCAGUAAGCCAUGCCCUCUUUCUUUUUCUCUCGGUGAAGGAGCAACACACGCAGAAGUCACAUGAUCGGUUUGUGUGAAAUGUAUUAAUUGUUACUCAAGUAAAUGUUAAAAAGGCGGUUUUAAUGACACAGAAUAUACAUUCAGAACACAGUUUAAUGCAGUGGUUCUCAACCUUUUUUCAGUGAUGUACCCCCUGUGAACAUGUUUUUAAUUUAAGUACCCCCUAAUCAGAUCAAAGCAUUUUUGGUUGAAAAAAAGAGAUAAAGAAGUAAAAUACAGCACUAUGUCAUCAGUUUCUGAUCUAUUAAAUUGUAUACCAGGGCAAAAUAAUGCUCAUUUGUAGUGGUCUUUCUUGAACUAUUUGGAAAAAAAGAUAUACAAAUAACUAAGAACUUGUUGAAAAGUAAACAAGGGAUUCAAUUAUAAGUAAAUAUUUCUACACAUAGAAGUAAUCAUCAACUUAAAGUGCCCUCUUUGGGGAUUGUAAUAGAGAUCCAUCUGGAUUCAUGAACUUCAUUCUAAACACUUCUUCAUUAAAAAAAAAUCUUUAACAACAAUAUUUAUGGAACAUGUCCACAAAAAAACCUAACUGUCAACACUGAAUAUUGCAUUGUUGCAUUUCUUUUCACAGUUUAUGAACUUACAUUCAUAUUUUGAUGGAAGUAUUAUUCAAUAAAUAUAUUUAAAAAGGAUUUUUGAAUUGUUGCUAGUUUUAGAAUAUUUAAAAAAAAUCUCAGGUACCCCUUGGCAUACCUUCAAGCACCCCCAGGGGUAUGCAUACCCCCAUUUGAGAACCAAUGGUUUAAUGGACCAAUGUUUAGUUCAUGGCUAGUUUUUUUGUUUUCCACCAUGUCCGCCCAUUGUCAGGCUUGCCCCUGACAGUUUGUCUAUGUUUUAGUUUUUUCCUCUGCAUUUGUCUGUUUCCUGUGUUUAGUAUUUCCUGUCUUUUAGUUCCUGUCAAUUGCUCUUAAUUUGUCAGCAUUCUGUUUUGUUCCCUGAGUGCUGUUUUCCUCCUCAGUGUGUUUAGUAUUUCCUGUCCUUAGUUCCUGUCUAGUGCUCUUAUUUUGUCAGCUUCCUGUCUUAUUCCCUGAGUGCUGUGUUCCCCUUCAGCUGCGGCUGAUUGGCAUCUGGCCACACCUUUUGCCAAUCAGCCGGCUCCUUUUUGUACCUCCUUUGUCUUGUGCCAGUUGCUGGAUCAUUGUAUUGUCAUUUGUAUUGUCGUUGCCACAUGUUGCUCUUGUCGUGUCAUUUUGAUUUCAGCUAUUACCUGUCGUGCUACAUCUUGUCCUGGUCGUUGUAGCGGUAAGCUGUUAUUGUUAGCCAUAGCUAUUUCCAGUUUUUCUGUUUGUUAUCCUCUAGCUUCCAUGCUACAGUUUCUUUUUGUUUCUUGUUAGCUUCUAUGCUAAAGGCUUUUGUUCUUUAUCCGCCCACGUGCGCGCUUUUGGUUUGAACCCUUUGUUUGGUUUUGUCUUAGUAUUUAUAUUAAAAUCAUGUUUGCUCACUCCAUGCCUGCCUCCAUCUCUGCAUCCUGGGGUUCGUCACCAAAUAACCUUGAAACCCAUCCUUGUAAAAAUUAACAUAUCGUUAAAUUACAGGCAAUUCUUCCUAGAAUAGGUCAUGAAAUGAUAUUAUAUUUACUGUAUUUACCAAUAGACCGAGGGGUAGCCACCUGGCCCGGGAAUGGCAACCCUCCUCCAUUGUUGAUGGCUUCAGAUGACAUCAUAUCUGCAGCCCAGGAUCUUUUUGUUAUCCCACCUGAGGUGAACCCCAUCGCUCUCACAUCCGAUGGAGUCUCAUUCGUCGAAGUACCUAGACCAAAGUGAACCACAUCAUAGGCGCCGAUCCAGUGGGUGCUACGGGGCCGGGAAAAGACGAAUGUCUACUGUACAAGACGCUGGUUCUCUGGAAUAUACAAAACAAUACUAAUAGUGAAGUGAAGGUAAAAACAGUGACAGGAUGUUUGGCCUUUUUAAAAAAAAAUAGAAACGGACUUUCACAUUUUCUUAAAAAGUUAAGAAAACAUCUUUAGCUGCUCCUAUCCACCUCUGUUGAUUGUGAUAAACAAGGCAGAAAGCCUAUUGAAGCAAAGUAACAUUACCAUUACAGUUUUUUCCAUUUGCUUACACACAAUUGUACUAAAAACCCCGUUUUCAUAUGAGUUGGGAAAUUGUGUUGGAUGUAAAUAUAAACGGAAUACAAUGAUUUGCACAUCCUUUUCAACCCAUAUUCAAUUGAAUGCACUACAAAGACAAGAUAUUUGAUGUUCAAACUCAUAAACUUUAUUUAUUUUUUUUGCAAAUAAUAAUUAACUUAGAAUUUCAUGGCUGCAUCACGUGCCAAAGUAGUUGGGAAAAGGCAUGUUCACCACUGUGUUGUAACACCUUUUCUUUUAAAAACACUCAAUAAACGUUUGGGAACUGAGGAAACUAAUUGUUGAAGCUUUGAAAAUGGAAUUCUUUCCCAUUCUUGUUUUAUGUAGAGCUUCAGUCGUUCAACAGUCCGGGGUCUCCGUUGUCGUAUUUUAGGCUUCAUAAUGCGCCACACGUUUUCGUUGGGAGUCAAGUCUGGACUGCAGGCAGGCCAGGAAAAUACCCGCAUUCUUUUUUUACGAAGCCACGCUGUUGUAACACGUGCUGAAUGUGGCUUGGCAUUAUCUUGUUGAAAUAAGCAGGGGUGUCCAUGAAAAAGACGGUGCUUAUAUAGCAGCAUGAGUUGUUCCAAAACCUGUAUGUAUCUUUCAGCAUUAAUGGUGCCUUCACAGAUGAGUAAGUUACCCAUGCCUUGGGCACUAAUGCACCCCCAUACCAUCACAGAUGCUGACUUUUAAACUUUGCGUCGAUAACAGUCUGGUUUGGAUGACACAAUGUCGAGUAUUUCCAAAAACUAUCUUAAAUGUGGACUCGUCAUACCACAGAACACUUUUCCACUUUGCAUCAGUCCAUCUUAGAUGAUCUCGGGCCAGAGAAGCUGGCGGCGUUUCUGGAUGUUGUUGAUAAAUGGUUUUCGCUUUGCAUAGUAGAGCUUUAACUUGCACUUACAGAUGUAGCGACAAAAUGUAUUUAGUGAUAGUGGUUUUCUGAAGUGUUCCUGAGCCCAUGUGGUGAUAUCCUUUAGAGAUUGAUGUCGUUUUUUUGAUACAGUACCGUCUGAGGGAUCAAAGGUCACGGUCAUUCAAUGUUGGUUUCCGGCCAUGCCGCUUACGUGGAGUGAUUUCUCCAGAUUCUCUGAACCUUUUGAGGAUAUUAUGGACUGUUGAUGUUGAAAUCCCUAAAUUCCUUGCAAUUGCACUUUGAGAAACGUUGUUCUUAAACUGUUUGACUAUUUGCUCACGCUGUUGUAGACAAAGGAGUGUACCUCGCCCCAUCCUUUCUUGUGAAAGACUGAGCAUUUUUUGGGAAGCUGCUUUUAUACCCAAUCAUGGCACCCACCCUUUCUCAAUUAGCCUGCACACCUGUGGAAUGUUCCAAAUAAGUGUUUGAUGAGCAUUCCUCAACUUUAUCAGUAUUUAUUGCCACCUUUCCCAACUUCGUUGUCACGUGUUGCUGACAUUAAAUUCUAAAGUUAAUGAUUAUUUGCAAAAAAAAAAUGUAUAUCAGUUUGAACAUCAACUAUGUUGUCUUUGUAGCAUAUUCAACUGAAUAUGGGUUGAAAAUGAUUUGCAAAUCAUUGUAUUUCGUUUAUAUUUACAUCUAACACAAUUUCCCAACUCAUAUGGAAACAGAGUUUGGAACUGUGUGUCUAUUUUCAAAAGAUAUACACUGUCACGAUCCGCUACACGGAUCGUUUAUUGUUUUGCUUUGGAUUUGUUUUGAUCACGUUUGGACUCUGCCGAUCCCUUCAGUUGAACACUUCCUUGUUUACAUUCGUCACCAUGGCUACUUAAUUACGCCUCCUGCACGCACUCCCGAAACACACCUGUUUUGAUUUAUUGUGUUGUAUUUAAGACCGCCUGCUACCUCAGUUCCUCGUCGCCAGUUUGUUUGCAUCCCGCAACAGUUACGUUAGUUUUGUCUUUCUGUAUUCUCUCUGCUAAGUAUGGCUUAGCCUCCGCGCGCUCGGCUCUCGCUGUAUGGACUUUUUGAACUCUGCCUUUUGCUCACGUUUGUGUUCUGCUUCCCGUGCGUUGGCACACCUUUUCUUUCCGCGUUGUACAAGUGUUCUUUUAGUUGUAUUUUAUAAUUAAAACCUGUUCCUACCUUCAAUUCUGCCUGCUGUUAUCCCGUGCAUCGAGGGGUGACACUCCCCGCACAUCCGCGAUGCGACGCUAUCGUAACAUACACACUUUUCCAAACACCACAUUCAAUUUUCUUACUUCCUAUGUUUGCAAAAUGACACACUUAUGUCAAAACGUAUGCCCAUUCAUCAAAAUAAAGCAAGCAUUUGUACCCUGCGAUGAGGUGGCGACUUGUCCAGGGUGUACCCUGCCUUCCGCCCGAUUGUAGCUGAGAUAGGCGCCAGCGCCCCCCGCGACCCCGAAAGGGAAUAAGCGGUAGAAAUGGAUGGAUGGACAGUUUCAUUUUCAUCUCUCUCACACAGACUUCAAAUGAUAAGACACUAUUGGAGUGAGUUACCCAGAACAGUGACAAAUACAAAACACAUUUGUAAAAAAACCCUAUUUUACUAUGAGAAAUCACAUGUUUGGGGCUAUUUGUCUAACCUUUUUAGCAUAUGUGAUGAAUGAUUACUGUAACUUGAAAAAAUAUAUUAGCAAAUCCAUAGCAAUCAUUAUUAUUUACUUUGAAGUGGGCCUAUACUUAAGGACCUAAAUUAAAACUAGAAAUAUCCUGUAAACCUUUGAAGAACUGCUCAAAAAUGAUGUUACAAACAGAAAAUAUUUAUUUUUACCACAGUCAGGUAAAGUAACAUAUCACAGUUGUCAACAAUGAUAUGCAGUACAAAUUCAAAUCCGAGAUAAAAGGGUUCGAAAAAAAUUCUGGAGAAAAAAAUUACAAAUGGAAAAAAACUGUACAGUUGUAGCAACCACUUGAAAGCUGUAUUUCCAAUGUACCACCUGUGUGUCUUUACACCUGGUGGAUGUGAUCAUCCAAUGUGUCCAAUUGUGCGCUCGAUGGCGAGCCAGCCAUUUGGAUUGACCAGGAAGUAACUUGAUUGAUUGAUUGAUUGAUUGAAACUUUAAUUAGCAGAUUGCACAGUACAGUACAUAUUCCGUACAAUUGCCCACUAAAUGGUAACACCCGAAUAAUUUUUUCAAUUUGUAUAAGUCAGGGUCCACUUAAAGCAAUUCAUGGCACAAAUAUAUACUAUCGGCAUUAUACAGUCAUCAAACAAGUUAAUCAUCAGAGUAUAUAUGACAGCUUAUUAACUAGAGUUGUGGCUAUGCUGGUGAAAAACGUGUUAAGUCUGCUUCCUACCUCCAUUUUGUCUGUAAUGAGGGAGUCGCCCUCCUGGAUGUUGAUGUUGGUGAGUCUGGUUUUAAGUUUCUGGCUGCAGCCAGGAAGCUGGUUGUUGAGGAUUUACCAGAGCUCACGUGGCUUAUUUGUGUUUUCCUCUAUUUUGUCGUUAAUGUAAUUUUUUUUUUAAAGGAUUUAGUCAGGUUGGUUGUCUUGUUUUUUGAUUUAUUGCAUUGCUUUUUGAGUGUUGAAAGGGGUGAUUUGAGGUUAUUAUUGGGUUAUUUAUCUACUUCGGUUUUACACUUUUGAUAUUCGAAAUAAUUUUUGUCUCUGUCUUUUAUGGCACCUAAUAGGUCCGGAUUCAUCCAUGGUUCAGAGCAGGCUUUGAUCCUGGGAGCCAUAUCAUUUACUAUUGCUAGGAACGCUGUUUUGAAGCGAUCCCAAGCAUCAUUGACCAGGUUGCUCGUGAGCACAGGGGAACAGUCCCACUCACCUAAUUUUAGGUUGAAAUUAUAACUGGAGUAUGUUUUAAGGGAUGUGGAUGGAGCUGUUAUGUGGCCGUUGGCUUUGUUUUUAGGUAUUUUGCGGGUGCAGAAUGUCAUGAUCCCACUUCACAAUCCUUAUCUUUGUGUAAGGUGUAAAGAUGUGUGUAUCACAAUCUUAGUGUGUGUGUAAUGUGUUCAAAUGUGUGUAUCACAAUCGUUAUCUGUGUGCAAGAUGGGAAGGUGUGUGGAAAGCGUUCUGUGUAUUAUUUAGCAAAAAAUGUGACGCAGUCUAUGCCUAAUAUUGGACAAAUUUGUAAAGUGGUUUUGUUUACUGUGUGUAGACUUUUGUUAACUGUGAAAAUUUAAAAUUUAGUGUGUAAGCAAUUGGAAAAAACUAAUGUGAAUAGUGUAUAGGGACGGUUACAAUGUAUAUAAGGUGAAUAAAUGUUGUGAACCAUCGGUUUGAGGACCAUCUUUUCAACCGUGGAUGCGAGAGUAAUAAUCACAUAUUUUUCUGUUGUUUGGAUACUUGACAUUAUUUUUGGGCUGUACCACAACUUUAGGUGCACAACCCAACACCAAGUAAGGCAAGGCAAGUUUAUUCAUGGAGCACAAUUGGUACAUAAAGCAAGUAAAAGUGGUUUAUAAAAUAAUACAAGAAGGCAAAAAUAAAAACAAAACAAUCAUGAUUGAAAUUUAAAUCAAAUAAUAUAUUCAUCAUAAACGAUCACGUUUGAAUUAAAAUCAAAGAGUGUAGAUAACAUACAUUCAGUAGACAUAAAUAAAUAAAAGCUUGGGAGGGACAAGUGGUAGGAAAUGGAUGGAUGGAUGUUGCCAGCCUGGAUUUGAUCAUUGAUGUACUGUACGUAAAAAGUACAACAAUGUAUUGUAAAUAAUAACUUUUAAAUAUAUUAAUAUAAUAAUAAACUUGAACGUGUUUACCGUGGGCAUGAAUGGAGUGCGUUACUAAAAUGUUGUGGUGGAUUAAAUAUAUUGUAGCGUUCCGGAAGAGUUGGUGCUACAAGGGGUUCUGUGUAUUUGUUCUGUUGAUUUUAUGUUGUGUUGCGAUGCGGAUGUUCUUCCAAAUAGUGUUUGUCAUUCUUGUUUGGUGUGGUUUUAGGGUGUGGCGCAUGUUCGUGACAGUGUUGGAGUUGUUUAUGUGGCCACUCUUAGUGUGACACGUAUAUCUGUUAAACGAGUAUGCCUUUCAUUCGUGUAUGCCAUCACAGUGAAAUUAAUUUCAAUCAUGCAGUUUUUCAGCAUUCCUAGGCAUCUUUUAGGUAAAGCCCAUUGACAACCCGUCCAACCCUAUAAUAUAAAUUCCUAACCUUGAAAAUGACUCACUUUAAUCAUGAAAAUGACUCACUCGGAGCCACGUGCGUUGCCAUGUGAACAUUGCCCAUGUUUAUGUUGUGAAUGUGUUCUCCAGAAACGAAACUUUUUCUGACAGUAAAUGCGUGAAAGCACAUUUCGUUUCCAGAAGCGCCCUCUCACAUCUAGUCCACUAUUUGAACUCCAUGCAGGCUGGUAGUGCAAAGACUAGGCGACACCAUGGGAUUGAGUUCGAGUACUUCGUCGGAUGAGGCUGAAUCGGAUGUGAGAAGAAUGGGGUUCACCUCAGAUGGGAUAACAAAAUGAUCCCAAAGGGCUGCAGAUAUGAUGUCAUCUGAAGCCAUCGACAAUGGAGGAGGGGUUCCAUCAGGGGGCCCGGUAUCUAACUAUCAGUCCAUUGGUAAAUACAGUAAAUAUAAUGUUAUGUCAUGACCUAUUUGAGGAAGAAAUGCCUGUAAUUUAACAUUAGGUUCAAACAAAUAACCAAAUAACAAAACCAUGAAAUAAAUGAUAAUAUUGGUCUAUUAAACUGUGUUCUGAACGCA